GCAAACUUGGUCAUUUAGAGGAAGUAAAAGUCGUAACAAGGUCUCCGUUGGUGAACCAGCGGAGGGAUCAUUAAAAAUAGAGAUUCUUCUCUAAACACCCUCGCGAUCGUGACCUGAACGUUGCCUCGGCGGGUGGCCGCCCCGGGUGUUCGCCCGGGCGGUCGCUGAGCCCGCCGGUGGACCACUAAACUAUAGCACCUAGAAGCUCUGAGGAUACCUAAAUGAGUCAAAACUUUCAACAACGGAUCUCUUGGUUCUGGCAUCGAUGAAGAACGCAGC
rnacentral:misc_RNA from 1 species